UUGCGUAGGUGGCAUAGUAAGUAGAUAGUGAAAGCGUGUGGCUCAACCAUACAUCCAUUAUCUAAACUGCUAAGCUAGAAGAUGAGAGAGGUAGAUGGAAUUCCUGAUGUAGGGGUAAGUAUCCGUAGAUAUCAGGAGGAACACCGAUGGCGUAGGCAGUCUACUGGCUCAUUCUUGACACUAAGGCACGAAAGCGUGGGAGCAAACA
rnacentral:rRNA from 1 species